GCGGGGCCCGCGGCUGCGAUUGGCUGGCGGACCCACCAUAGAGCGUGGCGGCUAGAGAGGACGCGGAGGGCUGGCUUCGCAUGCGCAGACGGAAGGCUGCGGGCCUGGGCGCCAUCUUCGGUGCUGGCCGGGAGGUCUCGCCUUCGCAGAUGUCGGCUGCAGCAGCAGCCCGCGCCAUGUUAAGUCAGGGCAAAAGAGCCGAGCAGUUCGCCCAGGGAGCACCUACAGGAAUUCUCGAAGCCGCUUAGGAAGCACGGAAAGGCGCGCGAGAUCCAGCAGUCCGGAUGCCCGGGAGGAAGAGUCACGUUAAGGCGGGAGGGCUCUUGUUGCUCCAGCUUCAAAACUGCAUCAGGUUUGGUAAUUUCAUGACCUGUUAGUUGGAAACACAGAGGACUUGGACACAGUUGCUUGAGCUAAGGGACUCUUAAAUGUGAAUAAUGUUUUACUGCAGAGGCUACAAA